CAGGAUCGUCGAAAGACGUCUCCAUAAACCAUUGUGAACUUACCUAUUUGUCGUGCUUCGGUAGGCAGGCUCUACAUUCGUGUAAGCCUCCUAGGCCUAACGGUGCCUACCGAUGUGCAACCUUUAAACUAUGAUAUCUUUGUGGAAUCUCUGAAAAAAAAAUAAACCAUAA
rnacentral:misc_RNA from 1 species